CCUACGGGAGGCAGCAGUGGGGGAUAUUGCACAAUGGGGGAAAGCCUGAUGCAGCGACGCCGCGUGGGCGAAGAAGUACUUCGGUAUGUAACGCCCUAUCAGCAGGGAAGAAGAAAUGACGGUACCUGAGUAAGAAGCACCGGCUAAAUACGUGCCAGCAGCCGCGGUAAUACGUAUGGUGCAAGCGUUAUCCGGAUUUACUGGGUGUAAUGGGAGCGCAGGCGGCACGGCAAGCCUGAUGUGAAAGCCCGGGGCCCAACCGGGGGACUGCAUUGGGAACUACCGGGCUGGAGUGCCGGAGAGGUGGGCGGAAUUCCUAGUGUAGCGGUGAAAUGCGUAGAUAUUAGGAGGAACACCAGUGGCGAAGGCGGCCUUCUGGACGGUGACUGACGCUGAGGCUCGAAAGCGUGGGGAGCAAACAGGAUUAGAUACCCCAGUAGUC
rnacentral:rRNA from 1 species